rnacentral:lncRNA from 1 species
CCUUUCAGUAAGUCUCCUUAACUGGCUUCCCUUUCCCUUUUUGAGGGUGUGAAGAGGACCUGAUUCCUGGGGCAGGCUCAGGCAGUUUUGCUGAUAGAGGAGUAGACAAGCAAAUGUGUGGUACCACUGGCCCCUGCAGGUUCUAGUUGUCUUUUAGUUUUACUGGGGCCUUCAUACCUCAGGGUCUGGUGGCUUCUCUUCUCUACCCUUUUCUUAAGAGUCACUGGUGUCAUAAAGCCCCAGAGGAUCAACUCUGUAUAUCAGCCUCAUGAGAACUGACCUUCUCCUGACCUCAUUAAUGCUCUUAUUUAAAAGUUCUCUAAUUAAGCUUUGUAUUUUGAUAUAAUUAGAGACUCACCUGCCUGUGUCUUAAAAAUAACUCUCCCAGCUACUAUCUCACAUGAUCUGUGGGCCCAUCUUGUGAAGCCUAGUAUUAAAAAAUAUUUUUGUUUUUCAGUGGCGUGCAUUUUAAUUCUCAGGCCAUAGCUCCUACCAUUGAACAGAUUGACCAGUCUUUUGGCGCAACCCAUCCUGGAGUGUACAACUCCGCUGAGCAGCUCUUCCAUCUCAACUUCAGAGGACUGUCUUUCUCUUUUCAGUUAGACUCAUGGACUGAGGCUCCAAAGUAUGAGGUUAGCCCUUCCUGUCCCCUGGU